rnacentral:rRNA from 1 species
UACGUAGGCAGCAAGCGUUGUUCGGAAUUACUGGGCGUAAAGAGUGUGUAGGCGGUGUUCUAAGUCUGGUGUGAAAUCUCCCGGCUCAACUGGGAGGGUGCGCUAGAAACUGGAAUGCUAGAGGAUGGGAGAGGUAAGCGGAAUUCCUGGUGUAGCGGUGAAAUGCGUAGAGAUUAGGAAGAACACCAGUGGCGAAGGCGACUUACUGGACUGUAACUGACGCUGAGGCAUGAAAGCGUGGGAGCAACAGG